CACAUGAAGCUGCAUUGCAAAAUGGAAUUGGAUGACUUUGCAGGAGAGGCAAACCAUUAUUACAGCAAGAACCCUCACCGGUGAGAUGAGCGUCUGGUACAACCUCGGAUACAGAACUUGGUUGGAGGAGGGGACGUCCUUUUGGAUUUUAUCCACGGCCUGCUAACUGCUACUUUCAGCCAUGGAGUCGAUGGAUCAGAAGAAAGAAGCUCUUGCUGUACAAGAAAAGCCUGACCUUGAAAAGAAGAGAAGAGAAGGGAAGCGGAAGCCUUGCUUCAAAGCAUGGCUUUAACUCCUGCUGCUCCUACGGAUGGAUCAGAGGAAAGAAGCUCUUGCUGUACAAGAAAAGCCUGACCUUGAAAAGAAGAGAAGGGAAGCAGAAGCCUUGCUUCAAAGCAUGGCUUUAACUCCUGCUGCUCCUAUGGGAUCCUGCAGGUGAGAAGAGGACUGUGUACGGCAGCGCAUCUUCUUUGUGUCACCAGCUUGUUUGACACCAGAGCGUGUGGCAUUUGAAGUCUGAACUCAGCUACCCCCUGGAAACCGUGCCGUGAGAUGUUUUCCACUCACCCCAAUCCAUUUUUUCAGCUACAGGAGGGUUGAAAGGACGCACGUUAUGUAGUCCUUUUCAUUGUUUCCAAGCCUACCAAUUCUCGAUACACUUCACUAAAUUUUGCAUUGGGCACCAUUUCCAAGGAGCAAGGCAGCAUGUAGACACUGUAAAGAAAUAAAAUGUUUCGUAGAGUGCCAGUGUAGUGUGGUGCUCAGAAUAUUGAGGAAGGCCCUGUGAAAGCAGGCUUAAAUUUCUGCCCUGGCUGGCCUUGGACUCUCUCAGCCUAACCUUCCUCACAGGGAUGUUUAGGUGACUAAAAUAUAUUGUGCUUCCCUGCAUUCCUUGGCCUUAUGCUCACAUAUCAGUACAUUUAUGUAGUACUCUAUGUUUAAUUACAAUUCUCAGAAACCCAAAAUUUCUGUGACGCCCUGACAUCUACAACCUGACAAAGACUUCUGUUUUGUUUUUAAGAAAUAUAAUAAAUCAUAGAGUGCCAGUGUAGUGCAGUGGUCAGAAUACUGAGGAAGAAUCUGGGAAAACAGGCUUAAAUUCCUGCUCUGCCCUGGCUGAUCUUGGACAGAUCCCACUCUCUCGGCCUAACUUACCUCACAGGAAUGAUGUGAUGAUAAAAAUAUACUGUACUUCCCUGCAUUUCCUGGCCUUACGCUAACAUGUUUGUACAUACGUGGUGCUCUUGUCAUGUUGCUGUUCUCUGUUUUUUGUAAAAUCUGUUCAAUUGAAUUCUAAGAAUCAGCUUUCCUCUUUAAAGAGUGAGCUGGCCUUGACACGAAAUGUGAACGAGUAUGGAACGAGUAUGUGAACAAGUCUCGCUACUGGCCUCAAACCCAGACUUUGCACGCUGGGUUUAUAGUGGUCUUUCAGAGCACUAAUUGAGUGAUGUUGGCCUUUAAAACCAGGUUUCUCCUUGAGAAACAAGCAUGUCUUGAUAACGGUCAGCGGGAUUGAUUUGAUGAAGAAAGCGCUUAUUAAACGCUAAACAUUUUGGCUUUAACUUAAUCUCUUUCUCCACAUAGAAACCACAUCUGAGGGUGUGAUAUGCUCCAGAGCGACAGCAGCCUCGUCGUGUGAUGCAGAUUAGUCCAAGGCUUCACUUUAUGCUUUCCACCGGCACAACAUCUCCCGAGUGAAACAGGCGCAAGUAGCGUAUAAUGUGGAUGGUGAUCCUUCAGGCAUUUCAUCCUUGUCAUUAGGACA